AUGAUUCUUCAAGCAAAACUCUCUGCUACUAUAAAGGGGUAAAGAAAUGUUGUAAGUAGCUCAUUAUGGAUGGAGAGAUGCCCUGGCCUACAAAAUGACUUUAAAUAUCAGCUAGAACAACACUUCAUCACCUGAAUUGUUCUGAACACUGGUCAGCUGACCAACAAAUUGGUUAGAUUAACCAAGUCAACCUAAGCAGAUAAGUACCAAACUUCUUGAAAUGGAAGAUGUCUUUAAGAAGCUACAUAAAAUACCUCAGCAAUCCUCACAGAGCAGAGAAUUCUGCCAGAAACUCAAAAAACACUGGUGAAUUGCAUGGAAUUGCUGAUGCUAGACAUGAAACAAGAUUCCGAGACUGCCCUGGGCUUGUUUACAGCACAGAGAAAAUGGAAGAAGAGAGGAGAAGAGUUGCCUGGAGAUUCCAAAUAGGAUACAAGGCAAUGAGGAAGUUGAUCUGGAGGCUGAGAAGUCCAAGAUCAAGGGACCAGCAGUCCUGUGUUUGGUGAGGAAUCACUUCCUUGUUUACAGAUGGCAGAAAAGGGACUUCCUAGCUCUUCACCUGGUCUUAGAAGAACUAAUCCCAUUUGUGAAGACUCCACCUUCAUUAUUUGAUUACAGCUCAAAGACCUCACCUCCUAAUAUAGAUUGACGGUUAAGAUUUCAACAUAUGCAUUUGUGGAAAACACAAACAUUCAGUCUGUAACACAUUCUAUUUCACAUUUCACAUCUCCCUCUCCCUUUAUUAUCUGGGAAGAUAAACUAUUACAGCAAAGAGCUCAUGAAUUGAAUCAGGUUGAGAAUGAGACUUGUGGUGGCUUAUUUUUACAGAAAAUUUUAGUUCAAUUCCUCUUUUGAAGACCUUUUCAAAAUAUUAGUCAUAUUCCUCUUUUGGAAGUACACACUCUGACUAUAAUUGAAUCUUUCUUGAUGAUUGAAGACCUUGCCAUGCCUUAGGCUUAUUAUUCAGAACAUGAAUUCAAAUUCAUUCAAUUGCAUAGAUAAAUAUGCAGAAGGUAC